ensembl:lincRNA Meg3 maternally expressed 3
GGAAAGCCAGGUUGUCUACCCCACAGAGCGCUUCUGAAGACCAAACUACAUAACUCACAAGAAAGUGCCUUGUAAAUCGCCCGGAAAUUGCAAAAAAAAUCCUUAAUUAGCCAAUGAGGCUGUCCCUACUGCCCAGCGGCCAGCCCUAGUCUCUCACAACAGUGAGCACCCAGUAGGUGCUGGGUGUCUUUGUGUUCAACAAAUAAUUUCCAGAAUUCAAACAAACAAACAAACAAACAACAUUCAUUCAACAAACAUUUUCUGAGACACUGACCAUGUGCCCAGUGCACCAGGCUAUGGCUGAGGUACAAAGACAAUGAGAACAGUCUCUUUUUGGAGGCUAAUUAGUACUCUCAUUUCUACCAGCACUUUCUUUGGCCUUUUAAACCAACCAUUUUUGUCCAGACAAGACCAAAAAACAAAAACAAAAACAAAAAACAAAACAAAACAAAAAACCCAAAAAAAACAAAAAACAAAACAACUGGGUUGCUUUAGGGAAGCCCGGCUUGGAGUGGACAAUGGUGUCCAGGCCCCUGAAAGGGGCUGAUUGGAUUAUGAGGCAAAUGGAGGCAGAAGGAGCACGCAGGAGACAAAUGCAGUGGGCGGAGACCCGCUCUGAGUUAAUCAGGCUGAUUGAAGGGACCUUUUCUGUCUUGCCGAGUGGCCCGGGGGGGCUCUCACUACUGCACUGCUGUGUGCACAUGGAGACUGGAGCUACCCUGGUCCCUCUCUGGCAACUGUUCAUUCAUUUGAUGCUCACAACUCCCUGUCCUGACCCAGGGCCGGCCUGCCAUCACGCAGGGAAGCAGAGGUCGCCAAGCGGUUUCCGACGGGGCCCCCCCACAUAACGUUAGCCUCGCGGUCUCUUCGGUUUUAGCAGCAGUGGACAUGAACCUGUUUCCAGCCUGCAUCCUCCAGUUCCUCUCGGGACUCCUGGCUCCACUGUGCUCACCUGGAGCCCCGCCAGCCCGCCUCCCCCUGUCCUCCUUCCUCGCCACUCCAGUGUCUGUCUUUCCUUCACAGCCCCGGCUUCUCGAGGCCUGUCUACACUCGCUGCUUUCCUUCCUCACCUCCAAUUUCCCCUCCAACCCACUGCUUCCUGACUCGCUCUUCUCCAUCGAACGGCUCUCGCUCAGGCCUGUCGCGUCUUCCUGUGCCAUUUGCUGUUGUGCUCAGGUUCCACGAGCUGCCCAUCUCCACAGAAGAGCAGCUGGCAUUGCCCACCGGCCAUGCCGGCUGAAGAAAAGAAGACUGAGGACCCCAGGAUGCCCAGCGCGAGGACCCCAGGAAGCCCAGCGCGAGGACUCCACCCACGACGCCCAGCGCGAGGACUUCACGCACAACACGUUGCAACCCUCCUGGAUUAGGCCAAAGCCAUCAUCUGGAAUCCUGCGUGGGACCCUGGACACACGGACACAGACACCUGCCCCCAGGACCCUCCAACUGUAAAUCGAUUGGAAGCGCCCUUGUGAGCUGGGGCCUUCAAAGGGCUGAGGAGAAAAUGCAGGCCGAGAGACCAGCUUCUCAAAUAGGCUUCAAGCCUCCAUGACCUGAGCUCACCCCCUGGAAAUGUCUGGAAAACAUAAUGGGCAGGUUUUCUGUCUUCAAAGUUUCCAUCAAAACCUCUUCAAGUUCUUUAUUGUUUAGGACUGAGACACUUGGGGACAGUAAUGGGGACUUUCUUUUGUAUCUGUCUUGAAAGGCCAAAAUAUUUUUAUAUUGCUGUAGACAAAGCCACCUAUUUACAAAUGGACUCUGUUCGGUCGUUUCCCACCAGGAAGACCGUACUAUGUUUGUGUCUCUAUGUAUUCUGGGGUCUUGAAACAGGUUUCUCAUGGGGAUGGCCAUUCACUAGAGCCCAGAGGGGCAGAAGGGGAAGUGUCUACCCUGCCAAGGGGGUCUGGGGAAGGAGGGGGGCUAGUCUCAGAUUUGCUCCUUGUAUGUCUAGGGUAAACCCUGGGAGAAUCUGGUGGUAAAAGAACAUAUGCUGUGUUUGCCCCACAUCUGCCAUUUGUGUGUGUUUCUGGGCUACGGGUUUGCACACUUUGGUGGUUAACAUGGUGGGAGGAAGUAAGAAGGGCCAAGAGGGCACGGGUGCUCUGGUUUUCCUGCUGGGAGGCUGUUUCACUGGUGUGUGUUACAUCACAUAAUGCAUGUUUAGCUGGGUGAGUGACAACAGUAUGAAGGGACAGAGAAACAAAUAGGUGUAGAAAGAGAGUCACAGAGCACACAGUCACCAUUCUGUGCCCAGGCGUUCAUUAAAUGUUCAAUAGAAUGCUGAGCUCUGAUAGACAGAGCGGGCCACGGACACACUGGUAUUGGGUCAUCAUGGACCUAAGGAGUUUUUUUAAUUGAAGAAGGAAUCUUACAUAACAGAAGAAAGAAUAAGAAGAGCUGUCAAAACGAGCUCUGAGGUUUUUGAAGCCCCUUAAUAUAAACAGACAGACAAUGGCGUGAUCAGGAAAGGGAGAAAACAAAUAAACAAACAAACAAGAUGCUUACAGAAAUACGAGAGGACGUGUGAGCAUGCAAAGAGAACCCAGCUAGGUUAGUAUCGGGGUGCUGGUGGAUCGUUAAUCCUGUCUGGGUACCCCAGCUCCAAGGGGAUGAGAGGCAGCAAGUGAGAGGACACAUAGGAAACUGUAACAAGACAGAGGCGAGCAGAUGGGGAGCUUCAGCGGAGUGUUAAGCUAGGCUUCGCAAUCUGACCACUUAACUCUCCCAGCAAAGAAAAGAAAGGCUUAAAUACUAAAAAGAAGGAAAGCUGGAAGAAAGGAUGGUAGAUGUGAAAGGCAUAGAGGAUAGAAAGCAAUAGGGAGUGGAGUGCAGGUGCUGUGGAGAGACGCUUGCAGGUGACUCAAUUCACCAGCCUGUGCAGCUGAGAAAGACAGCCAGUGACAAAGGAGAAGAAGAAAGGUAACAAUACACUCACAAAUAGGUAGAUGAAUGUAGCUGGAAGACGGGGCCUGGCUAGGGACGGGAUGAGAGGCUGUGUCAGCAGACUGGUUAAUUCCCAUCUGUGCUUCUGAGAUGGACAAUGACCCACCCGACCAAGAGACCUUUCAGGCAUCAAUAUGUCAGGGAGGGCUUCAAUGGGGCAAUGGAGGCGAGGCCCAUUAAUAGCAGAUUAUGAUGUAUCCAAUUAGGUGCACCUGCCCUCUGGAAGUGCAGAAACCAGUAUUGAAAUGGAAAGAAAGACUGAAUGGAAGUCCGAGAGUACAAAUGAAUGGAUGGGAAAAAAGAUUUGCAUUCGCUCUUAGGGGGAGGGUGCUGCUGAGCCCCAGGGUCAUCUGAUCUCCCGGAGAAUAAAAGGGUGAGGGAGUGAUAGAGAGUAACAAUAAGAUGGAGAAGAAAUGAAAAGGAGUACAGAGAGAAUAAGUGGGGACAAUGAAGUCUAGGAGCGCGGCUUGUUUAACACAAGUCAUCCAUAUUAAUUCAAAAUUGAGGCCCUGGGAUGGGAUGGGCUGUGUCCAAGGGAUGAAGCUGUUGCCUAGCAUGUGCCAAGUUCUGGGUUCCAUCUCCGCCUGGCAAGACAAACACAGGAAACAAAAUUAUAGCCCAGAGGUUGUAAAUGUUGUUUUUGAUGGUUUUGGGACAAAGAGCUAGAUCGGUUGGAAGAUAGAGAAAUAGGAAGAGGUGGGAAAGAGAUGAGCACAAGAGGAAGCAGCAGUUCUUAAGAUAAGUGUUUAAAUAUGGUGAAUGCGUAGCUCUUGGGUGUGUCAAGAUGAAAAUAACGAAAAGAAACAAGUUUAGGGAUGACGGCACAGGGAUGAGCGGAAGCGGUGACUUUAGUUAAUCACCGUGGCCAACUCAAGCCCUGUUGGGGAUUUAAAAAAAGGUACAAAGGCGAUAAAGGAAGACACAUGCAAUACGGAAGAGAGAGACAGGACAGAUAGACACAGCGAAAAGGCUGAGGACAUGCCUGAGAGGGUCGCGAAGGGAUGAGAGAGAGAACAGCGAGAAUUCUGCUUAAUUCAAAACCGGGCUCCUGAGAUAGCUAAAUAUCUCCUGAGCCCAAACACCAGCACAGGAGAUUAAAUAACAAAAGAGCUGCAGGCAGACCCAAGUGGAGAAGGCUUGGGACCCUCAGAUCAGGCUUCAACUAAAUCUGUGCAUCUGAGGUCCAUAAAUAAAAGAAUAAAUAUUGAAAUAAAGGAGUGACAGAAAGGAUGAAUGAGCACACAUGACUGAAUUAGAAAUGGAAAUGGCUAGAGCAGCCAGUAAGGAGUGGCCCAUGGGACUUCUGCUCAUCUUAUUCUGGGCACCUGAGGUCCCUUCGUGAGAAGAUGCAGGGAGAAGAGGGGAAGGGAAAGGCAUGAGAGCAAAUGAAAGAGAGGCGAGGAGAGGAAAUGAGAAAGUGGCAGAGAGGGGAAGCGAUCGGUGGGUGCCUCGGAAGAGGAAUGUCCACGAGGAUUAAUAACGAGGCUCUCAUUAAUCCUAAAGAUCGAUGAGGUAAUCCAGACCCAGGUUCUUAAGGGGAAGGAGAAUGGAGAGAAUUAAAAAAAAAAAGACGCAAAAAAGGAGAGAAAGAUAAUAAAACAAGCAACAUGAUGAAUGGGUAAUUAAGAGAGGCUGUCUGGACAGAAAUAGUAAUGAGUUCCCAUGCAUAGUCCUUAAAUAGAUAAAUACAUUAUACCUUUCAAAGAAUGCGUGAAAAAUCGAAGAACACCAUGGCCCCCAAACAAGGCUGCACCUUCCAUUGCUGUAAUAAAAUACAUGCAGCGGAGAGCCAUAAAUAACGGAAAAUACUUAAAUGUAAAAGGUGACCAGACAGAGGGAGAAGAUUGCAAGCCCAGAUACACGAGGGAGGGAGGCGAUGUUUGCUUUGCAUGUGUAAUACAAUUAUGUUCACAGGAAAUUAAUAGAUUUAAAAAAAAAAUCCAAACUAAGACUGGGAGAAAAAACAAGGAAGGGAGGGAAGCGAGAUCUGAGAGAUGGGGCUGAGACUCCCGGGGUAGGCUCAGCAUGGUUUUGACUAUUCUGCACAUCCGGACUUAGAAAAGUGAGUUUGUCAGGGCAGGAAGAGAGAGGUGAAAUCUGGAGCGGGCAGAGCUGGGCAGAUGGAUAGAAAAGGAAUGGAAACUACACAGGGUGUGUGUGGGGGGUGGGGUGGGGAAGUGGGGGCUCUAAGAUCUGAGGUUAGGCUUGUUUAAAGCUGAGCCAUUGUUGUCCCCAGAGGAAUCAAAUCUUACUGCUUUUGUGAAGGAAGAGAGGAUGGCAAUAAUAUUGCAGGAAAAGAGGGAAGGGGGUAGGCAAGGAGGCAGGGAGGAACUUUCAUGUGCUAUUCGCUGACUGGGAUUGGUAAUGGAUAGCUCUUGGCCCACCACAAGCUGCUUCCACACAGCCUAACUGACUGGGAGCAGCUAUGGAUCACCAUGGCCAUGUUUUGCUUGCAGGGGGCCAUUUCACUGUCUGUCACAUCUUCAGUCCAUUGACACAUCCCUGCACAGUGCCCUUUCCAUAGACGUGGAUAGGAGGGAAGGGCUCAGGCCUGGGGCUGUGGAGAUGAUUGCAUGAAUAGGGGGCGCUAUGCCCAGUGGGUACCUUGUCUCCUCUCUGGGAAAGGAUCUCUUCUGAUCCUGAUGGGAAGGGGCUUAGCCAGCCAAAGGGCAGGGAAUAGGAGGCCUUGUCUGCUGCUGGCUACCAUCUUGAGUGUGACUUACACCAGGGUGCGGACAAAGUGAGCUUGACCUGGAAGCCUAGAGGCCCAAGAGACCCGGGUGAAGCAAGUAUCUCUGAGAUCAAGCCUACCCUUCAGCUCAGAGAGUGGACCCCUGCCUAGGCUCCCACACAUGAUCCUAGGUCCCAGAUAUGCCACCCCUGGAGCCCGUUUCAAGGCCCAUCUUCCAGAAUGUUUAAACCUGUGUAUGUAACCAGUAAAAUGGGAGUUUGUACUGUGUAUUGAAUCUGUCUUCUUAUUGGCCUCUGUGGGCUGCUGGGGGAGACCUGGAGAGUUGUUUAUUCUAGUGUCCCCCACCCCCUGGGACUCUUUGCUUCUGCCCAGUUUUCUUUCUCUGUUGUGGAUAAGAUUUUGUAGAGUUGUGUGUUGUAUGCUUGUGUUUGACCAUUAAAAAAAAAAAAGUCACAGCCCUCCUUGAUUUCUCAAUUCCUAUUGGGGGUGCUAAAUUCCAAACCAAACCAAUCCAAACCAGAUUCAUGUCAAGUGCCCAACAGGAGGAUAAUAGCUUGGCUGGAUCAAGGGAGCAUGUGCAGACCCAAGAACAGAGUGGACAGAUGGGCUAUACCGCAAGGGGGCUUUGAGAGCUGAGUGCAGGCUAAGUAGAGAGAAGGUAUGGAAGGUUGGGGAGGGUGGGGCUGCUGCUACCUGAGUUGCUGAGGGUCUGAGACACCAGCAAGGAGGAGGGGCCCCUGGAAGAAGCGUUUUGAGAUGACUGAAGAUGGAAGAUGGGCGCUCCCUACGCUUCUAGCUUCAAGGUUUUUAGUGUAGGCCCCGAUAGACGCCAGCCGCCUCCGAUCGUGGAAGACACAGCCUAACCUUGUCAGAAGCCACCUUCUGUGCCCCCAGCACCACGUGUCUGGGCCACGUGAGCAACGCCACGUGGGCCUGACGUGGAGCUGGGGCCGCAGGGGUCUGAUGGCCUCCUGUUUCAGAAUCUGGGGCGUUUAUCAUCCUUGGGACAACUGCUGACCUGGCUCCGGAAGAUUGUCCACACAAGUCUGAGUGACGGAGUGAGAUGAGGGGGCGGGUGGAGAUGCUCAGAAGAAAAUGGCCUUUGCAUGGGGUUCAUUUCCAGCUGUUUAGAGAGUCAGCCAAGGUGACAAGGUGGGGUUGGAUACGGAGAAGAAUGCUGGGACUACAUGUGGGCUACAGCUGUGAAGUCAGUGACAUGGGACAGCAUGGGGAUGGGUCUCUAGGUGGGCCUUGUCUCAACAUUCAUGCCAGAAGAUUGGAGGGGAUACCAUGGGUUACUGUGGGUCAGUGGGACCUUGGAAGGAACAAGGGCUUGGGUAGGUGACUUUGCCAUGUCACCUUGGGAUCUAGUUGUUUUGAGUCUUUGACUCUUAAUCUGAUCUUGAAUAACAAAUGUCUCUAGUUCUGGGGUUCUGAGAGUCUGUGGUAGGAUUCCCUAGGAUUCGUGUGGGGAGGGCGGUCUGCAUGUGCUCCCAAGUUGGUGUCCCAGCCCUUCUGCCUGCUCAGGGCUGUCUUAGACAUAUUUGCUUUUCCUUUCAACAUUAUAAAAGAAGGCAAAUUUUGUCUUUUGAUUGACACUCAUAUGCAAACCACAACAUCCUUUCUCUGAUAAUACUGGGACCUACAGCUCUCCUCGGCUCCCCCCGCUAUUUGAGCCCACCUUUGGGGCAGGUAGGCCAAAGGCCCUGGUGUUUUCUGAGGUGAAGUUGUUAAUGUAAAGAUGUGUAACUCAGAGCAGGGAGAAGAAACACCCCCUCAACUCUGCCUCCCCGUGCUCCAUCUUCCUUUCUGCCUUCCAAAUUCUUAUGAACACAGUUUUUUUUUAAAUUUUUUUUCCAUUUAAUGAGCAUCCUUUUUUUUUUUUUUUUUUUUAAGCUCCAUUGAUGGUGCUUACUUUUCUGUUGGUGUUUUGUGUCUGUUGCAAUGAGCAUCUUGCUGUCCACGUUUUCGUUGCUCCAUGGUCUCUCUCACCUGCUUGAGUUCCAUUGAAUGGCUAUGACAUCAUGAUCUACCCAUCUUACUGUUGCUGAUGCAUGAUCAUCUCCUGUCCUGUUUUUUUAUUUUACAUUACCGAUGACACCAUAACUAAUGGCUUUGCACAACCAGCUUUCCCAGCAUCUCUAGCGCCCCCUACAUCUAGCUCUUCCCAUGGUUCCUUUCUUUUCUCCUUGCUUCCUUCUGCUAGACUGUGAGCCCACUCAGGGCAAGGAGCUUGUAGAACUGCGCUCUGUAUUUCUUGUAGGAUGUCUAUGAAUGUUGACUUCGUGUGUGUGUAUGUGUGUGUGUGUGUGUGUACACGUGUGUACGUGUGUGUGUGUGCGUGUGUGCGUGUGUGCACGUGCGUGUGUGUGUGUGUGUGUGUGUGUGUGUGUAAGGGUGGACAGGUAUGAGUGAUGGAGUGAUUGAAAGAUUGGCAGACAGAUGAGAGGAUAGAUGAAUGGAUGAGUGAAUGAAUGAAUGAAUGGCUGAGUGAGUGAAUUAAUGGAUGGAUAUAUUCUCUGGUUGAGCUUCUUGGAUGAAAGGGUAAUGAUGUUUGAAUGGCUGUUGGUUGAUUGAAGAAAGCCUACAGUAUUUUAUCUUGUCUGAUAAUGUAUUAGCAUUUAAGCUGAUGUAUUAGUAUUUAAGGUGUCUGCUGACUUUCCUCACCUCUCUGUUAAAAAAUGCUUUUGUGUGUGUAAAACUUGUUCUAAUUACUAAUGAAGGCUGAAUACUUUUCACCCAUGUUUGUUAACAAAUUGUAUCUUACCUUCUGUGAACUGUUUGUCCAAGUCCAGUGGCUCAUGGCUCUUUCAGGCUCUUGGUUGAGGAUGUCCUUAGACUAGGCAAUGGCCUUUCACAGAUAUCUACAGAAUGAUGUGAGAGACUCAGCUGACUUCUAGCUUGGCAUUAGAAUUUACUUACCCUGGGAAACAGGGAGGCUGAUAUCUUGCACCAGCAGGUAGAAAACACUUUUAGGCUUGUGUCUGGGUUCACCAUGCAUUUCUAGCUUGUGAGCCCUGACCUGUGCUCUGUACCUCUUGUGGUGUGGCAGUCCUCCACCUUGUCCUCCUGAGUGAUAGACUACAUAUAUGCCUUUCCCCUGUUCUGGGGUGUAGUCUCUGAGGCCAUGUCUUAGAGGAACUGGCUUCUUAGUGCUCUGUCUAGACAUCCCUUAGCUCUAGUCUUCCCAUGCACCUCAGUGGCAGGUGUGGUCUUAAUUUAGGGAAUGAAUGAGAAAUUCAGUUCAGGACUGAUGUGACCCUCAGGUUAGUUCUAGGAGCAAGGCCAUUUUAUGGUCUCGGCUCUUCCCAACCUCCUCACAGGGCAGUUAUAGCCAUCUGGGUAGGGUGUGUGUUCCGGGAGAGCUCAUCCUGCCAUCCAGAACUCCCUCCCACACUCUAUUAUAGCACUUAGCGUGUCUGCCUGUGUUCAGCCCUCUCACCCCAUGCUUAUCUGGACAUUGAAGCUUGGAAAGCCAGUGGUGACUUCAACUGACUUUUAAUUCAUCCACCCAUCCAUCUGGCUAUCCAUCUAGCCAUCUGUCAGUCAAUCCAUCCAUCCAUCCAUCCAUUCAUCCAUCCAUCCAUGCAUACACACAUUGGGCCUCCAUCACUUGACCUGGUGCUUUGGGCCUCUCUCCCUCUCCUGAAAGCAAACCCCUUCACCUUGGGCAAGCUGUGUGAUACCAUGGGCUGUGGUCAUGAAGCAAGGCCCCCAUUCACAGCCUCCUCCUCCUCCUCCUAGGUCACGGCUCUGAGCACGUCCCAGCUGGACCCCUAUCACCACAGCUUUUUCUCCAUAAGGCUUCUCACACCUCACACCCUCCUCCUGUGAUCCAGGAGGGCCAGAUUCCCAGAGUGCCCUGGGGCUGGCCCUUCCCACCAUCCGCGGAGCUGCCUCCCCAGGCUUCACACUGCCUGGUGCAUGGUCCCUGUCAUGAGCUUGGCCUUCACCUUUGCAGCUUCCUCCACCAGAUGGCAGUGGUUGUGACUCGUGUGCCCAUUCCUUCGCACCUUCAUUCAUUCAUUCUCUUACAGCCAGCAAGCAUCUCUUUAAAAAAAAAAAAAAUUAGCUAGUGCUAUACUAGAGCCGGCUCACAAGCACCCAUUGCACCACUGUCCUUUGAAAGAAAAGAUGGGGACAUUUGUAAAGAAGCUGUGUUUGUGUGGCCAAUAAGAGGAGCUCCUUGAUUUCAAUUCAAACUUCAGGUCUGAGUUCUAUUGCCAGCUUGAUUGCUCUCUCCAAUUUUGUUCCUCACAAAACUAGGUUGAUUAGUAAUCAGCAAACUGUGUUCCCUGGGUGCUCAGAAAUCAUAGCCCAGAUCCUUAAGAGGCCCAAAUGGGGAGUGGACUAAGCACAAAGCAGCUGCCUCUGGCUGCGAGCAGGCUUUCAAGGCUGUGAGACACUCUGUUCUUCUACGAGGAUGAUCUGAGAGCCGUUCUGGCCACUUUGGAGCUCAGCUAAUGCUUGGCUCCUUUUUAGAGAAAAUUGCAGGAGAUGGAUGCUCGUACAAGUGACAAGGAUCAUGUCCCAAUGUCCUUUCUGAAUAAUCCAUUCGCAGACCCAGGCGAGCAAGGCACAUGGCACUUUGCAAACCCCUGUGUGUUUCAGGAGGACCCAUGCUAGGGGAGGCCUCCUUUCAGCUUUCUGCUGUGAAGGGGAAGAGACGCAGGGCUCUUCUGAGUUCUCCUCCCACUAGACGCAGUAGGGGCGGCAAGGCCAGAACCUGGAGCUGGACAAAUUGUGUGAUGGAUCUUGCCUCAGGGCUGUUGUGAGGAUUGGUAUAACUGGACACUUCUGACUGUGACCCUAAAAGGCAGUGUAUGUGUCCCUGGGGGUGUGCCAGAGCAUUGGGAACCCUAGCCCUGGAGUGGGGGUGGCCUUGCUUGGGUAUAAUGGGGAAUUUUUUGUGUCUGUUAAAUUUGUAUAUUUUCCUAUAAAGUAGAGACUUUAACACCACGGGAUGGGGGACUCUUUAGAUAGUACCUGUGCCCUCCGCCCCCCUCGGACACAUCCACACCUACCUCUAGGAGAGGUUGGGGUUGUCUUUAGCUCUCUGACUGAGGACCAAGCCUCUGACUCAGAACUGUAUAUGGCACCUAGUUACAUCCCUUUCCAAAAGGCUCUUCUUCCCAGGGGAGCACUCGGCCUGAUCUGGCAGACCCCAUUGUCCCUUUCCCAAUGUCCUCUCUCCCACUAACAGCAUCAGGCCAAACUGCCUGAGAUCUGGUGCCUACCACAGUGCCUGGCCAGGGGUAGGGCUUCAGUGACCUUCUGUUGUAUUUGUGUAGGUAGAUGAGUAGCUAACAAUUGUAACAGGUCCUAGGGGCAGAUGUGUAUGGUCUCAUUCAGUGGUUUGUAAUGGAGAAUGUAUCUGAACCCAUAUCAAGCCAUCUCUCUUCCUUAACAUGUUAAGCAGCCACUGCUGUCCUGGGUUGUUUUGCACCUUGCCUUGUUGUCUUUCAUGCUAAGUAAAAAAAAGUCCUGCUUUCUGCUGAGAGUCUGUUUCUUCUGGAACUCACCUAGGUGUGAUCUGGCAGGGCUGCUAAGCUGUGUCUCUGCCCCUCUGACCCGUAGUCUUCUUCUCUCUCAGGUGUGCGUCACUGGCAAGCCUACCUCACAGGGUUGUUGUGAGGGCUAAGGGCUGAUCGGCUGUAACAGUGUGAUGUCCAUGCUGGCUGUCACCAGGGAUGGUGCCAUGAUGGGGUUGGCUUGAAAUCACAACCUAUACCGUUAUUAGUGGUCACUGAAUAAAGAGUCUCACUGUGGACACUGAGGUUGUAUAUCCAGCCGUCGAUGUGGUAUUCGAGGCUGGCUGUGUGGUCCUGGCUAAAUCUGGUGUGGUUCAUUCAUGCAUGUUAGCGUCUAAGUCCCUCUGUGGUGCCCUGGCCUUCCCUUCCUUUCCAUCAUGGUGGCUGGUGCUGCUGGUUAUGUGAAGGCCAAAGCUGGCUGGGCCACUUUGCUUUGGGGCAUUCGGAGGGGUGGUGUCUGUUGGUAGAUGCUUCUUCAAGCUUGUGUUUCUGUGUAUGUGGUGUGUACAUAUCUGCCCCCUGGGACAGUGCCAAGAACCAAGGGUCAAUAGAGGGGCUUCCAAAUUAUGACAUCCUUGAAUUUUUUCUUACUGCUCUCUCACUUUUAGCUGGUAGGUCUGGGUGGCUGUUCUCCUCUCCUCCCCCCUCCCCCUUUCUUUCCCUGCCAGGAGAUGAGAAAAAUUAGCUUUCUCUACACCAAAUUCUGCUUUGGACUGAGCUUAGGUUUACACACUUUACUGUUGUCCUCAGCAUGGUCCCAUUCUAUGGAUGGACAGACUGAGAACCAGGGACAAUAGUCAUGUUAUGUGUGAAUAACUCUUUCCACUCCACCAAAUAAAACCUCAGCAAGCCCAGUGUCUUAGGCUCACUCCUGCCUGAUCCUGGUAUGCACUCAGAAUGGUCUCCCUUUUGCUUUGUGUCCCACUAUCCACCUAGUAGUUUCCUGGCAGGGUAAGGCAUGGAGGGAGGAGCAAGGAGGCUGUGUCCUCCCAGGUCUCCCAGUCCCGGAGUGUCCCAGUCCAUGUCUGUCUGAGAUUCACAUUUCCCACGAGGCUCUUUCCAUGAUGUUGGAUUCCAUCCCCACUCCUCGUCCUGUGAAUCUGGGCGAGCUGCCUUCCACUUUUCCACUCUUGUUCCAAGUCCACGCCAAGAAGCCCCUCCCCACCCACUGCACAGAAGCCCAGCCUCCGCUCAGUUCCUUGUGUUACUCUGGCUUUCAAAGCCCUGGUGUCUCAGCCCUAGAUGCUCUUAAACCCUUGGUGUUGUCACUGUGUCCUCGGGCUCAGGACCCCGUGUUUUCAUUGUUCCCUCUGGCCGCCAUGUCUUUCCCUAUCAUACUCCAUUACCAAAAUCCCGACUCUGCCUCCCUCAGGCUGUGUCUGUGACUGCUACAGUUCAUCCUGUCUUUGACAACUUCUUGGAACCUUUGCUUCUGUGCUCUGGGGUCUUGUGGUAGGCACAUGUGGGUCAGGUCAUUUGCUCAGGUAAUUUUGACUCUGUGUCUAGGUGCCUGGUCUCAGAUGGGCCUUUGGCCCCUUGUGGGCCAGGUUUUUGGGUGACUCUUAGGUAGCUUAUGUCUCUUGGAAGUAAAGAAAGGGAAGCCAGGGGCCUGGCAAAAAGGGAAUGCUUAGAUUGUGACUAAGCUCUAGGCUUGCUCCAACUCAAUGUCACCCUGCCUCUUGAAGUAGUGGGCACCUAAUACUUGCUCCAUGAUGAAGUAGGGAAGGCUAAGUGAAUGUGGAUAGGCCGGUGACUAGGAGGUCUUUAAGGACUUUCCCCAGGAUCUAGUCAGCUACAGGACACCCUUCCUGGUAGAAACACUGCUUUGGAGAUAUUAUGUCCAGAAUAAAACUUUCUGAGAGCUAAAAUGUCCUCAUUGAUAUUUUGACCUGAGUGAUCCUGAAAAGGAGUUGUUUGGCAGUUCCCAAAUUCUAAGGUGGACUUGGCUGUGCCCAUAUCAUCACCGAGGCCCCUCUCUCUGGGUGAAAGGAGAUUAUUUUGCCCCCAAAGCCUUUGUUCCCACCAUUGGUGACAAUCAGCGCUGACUUAGAAGUUACCUGUGAGAUUUGGGUACAGCCUCAAGCACCUGGCAGACUGGGGAGAUUGGACCCCUUGAAUUCUUCUUUUCUACAGAGUGCUCCGUAGGCACAUGGGUGGGGGAGGGGUUCCCAGGGUCUUACCCAUUUGGGCAUCAGACCUGUUUUUGUUUUUUGUUUUUCUUCCAACUGAACCUUGAGCAGCUUGCCUGAAUCAUCCCCAGCCUUAGUUUCUCUUCCUGUACAAAGGGUGUCAUUAGUGACUGCCCAUCAUAUGGUGGCUCAUGAGAAUCAAGGUCUGAGUUCUGGUCAUCCUUGUCCCUUGUGGAACGUGUGGUGGCCUUGGCUGUUUGCCAUAUCCUAGAAAUAGUCAAACCAACCUGGUUUGAUUGGGGGAUUCAGUGAGGUUUUGUGUGUGUGUGUGUGUGAAAACGAGUGUUUUGUUGCUUGAUAUGCAGGUGCUCAUGUCUGCUAACCCAUACUGACUGUUGUGGAGGUGGGCCCUGGGUACAGAUGUACCUUAGUUUCUGAAACUUCAGGUCCAUGUGAGACUCGGACAGAGUGGAGGGCAGGAGGGUAGCACCUACCCAGCUCUGGAGCGACAUAGAAAGCCUUGCUUUCAAAUGUUAGGAUUCAGCAGUUUUGGUGGGAGGCUCUGAGAUACAAGACCAGGAAGACUAUUAAGAACACCCCUCUAGGAGGGCAAGGCCAAAGUCUUUGGAAAACCACCAAGGUUUAAUAGACUGUGAAUUGGCUAGAAGUCUUGGGGGUGGUAUGAGAAAGAUGGAAAAUCCUAGAAUAGGUUUUUAUUUAUUGGAAAAGUCAGGAGCUGGUGUGUAGGUGUUGCCCCACCCCCAUGGCUGUCCAGAAGUUGGGCCUUCUACAUAGCUCAGGCUUUCUGAGCACAGGGCUGGGUUGCCCCCUCCAGUUCCUACCCUGCCUAGUGCAUGAAAACUCUUUAUCUGCCACGGGGAUGGGGAGCAGAUGGCUUCAUCUGCAGCUGUGUCUCUCUCAGCCUCCACAGCCACGGGGACGCCUUGCACAUUUCCUGUGGGACAUGCUGGACCCAAGACUCUGGACCCUGGCCUCCCCUUGAGUAGAGAGACCCACCUACUGACUGAUGAACUGCGCUGACCCUGGGGUCAGGCAUGUGGCCUUGAUCCCUACCCAUGGACCCUGAGACUUGGGGGGGUGGGAGAAAGGCUGUUGUGUCUUCACUGUUGAGUCUACAUCUUUGAAAUGGGCUCAGGUUCCUACCUCACAGGGCUGUUGUGAGGCAGCCGCGAUGUGCUUAGAAGCAUGGGGCCUGGUGGCUCAUGGUGCUUUCAAUAAAUUUCUUGUUUUAACUAAA